GUGACUUUCGGAUGGUGGUUGGAGAAGAUAAAACAAAAGUGUUGAAUAUUGUGAAGCCCAAUAUAGCCCACUUUCGAGAGCUCUAUGGCAGCAUACUACAGGAAAAUCCUCAAGUGGUGUAUAAAAGCCAGCAAGGCUGGCUGGAGGUAACUGUAUGUGGAAAAUAGCUUGUAUUGUUUCUAAGACAAAGGCUAUUUGCAGGAAGAAAGUCAGGGGUAGAACAGCAUGACUGGUGUGAGAACAUUUAUAGUUUAAAAAAGCCGGAUAUCUCACUCUUUUGCUAGGGCUGAUGUUGAAUUUUUGUGCUCAAGCAAUUCUCCUGCCUCAGCCUCCCAAACUGUUGGGAUUACAGGUGUGAACCUGUGCUCCUGGCCCAUUUGAUAGAUAAAAGCCCAGAAGGACAGUUCACUCAGCUGAUGACAUUGCCCAAAACCUUACAGCAACAGAUAAAUCAUAUUAUGGACCCUCCUGGAAAAAACAGAGAUGUGGAAGAAACUUUAUUCCAAGUGGCUCAUGAUCCCGACUGUGGAGAUGUGGUGCGACUAGGGCUUUCAGCAAUCGUGAGACCGUCUAGUAUAAGACAGAGCACGAAAGGCAUUUUUACUGCUGGCCUGAAGAAGUCAGUGAUUUAUAGUUCACUAAAACUGC
rnacentral:lncRNA from 1 species